rnacentral:snRNA from 1 species
UCUUAUCAGUUUAAUAUCUGAUACGUCCCCCGGGGACCAUGCAUAGAUUAAACUGAUUUUUGGAGCAGGGAGAUGGAAUAGCGGCUUGCUCCGUCCACUCCACGCAUCGACCUGGUAUUGCAGAACCUCCAGGAACGGUGC